rnacentral:rRNA from 1 species
GACGAACGCUGGCGGCGUGCUUAACACAUGCAAGUCGAACGGAAGGGCCCUGCUUUUGCGGGGUGCUCGAGUGGCGAACGGGUGAGUAACACGUGAGUCACCUGCCCUUGACUUUGGGAUAACCUCAGGAAACUGGGGCUAAUACCGGAUAGGAGCUCCUGCAGCAUGGGGGGGGUUGGAAAGUUUCGGCGGUUGUGGAUGUACUCGCGGCUUAUUAGCUUGUUGGUUGGGUAGUGGCUUACCAAGGCUUUGACGGGUAGCCGGCAUGGGAGCGUUACCGGCCACAUUGGGACUAAGAUACGGACCAGACUCCUACGGUAGGCAGUAGUGGGAAAUAUUGCACAAUGGGCGGACGUCUGAUGCAGCGACGCCCCGAGCGGAAUGCCGGCCUACGGGUGGGGAACCGCUUUCGGCUGUGACGAAGCGUGAGUGGCGUUAAUGAGUAAAGAAGCACCGGCUAACUACGUG